AUACGUAGGUGGCAAGCGUUGUCCGGAAUUACUGGGUGUAAAGGGAGCGUAGGCGGGAAUGCAAGUUGAAUGUUAAAACUAUGGGCUUAACCCAUAUCUGCGUUCAAAACUGUAUUUCUUGAGUGAAGUAGAGGUAGGCGGAAUUCCUAGUGUAGCGGUGAAAUGCGUAGAUAUUAGGAGGAACACCAGUGGCGAAGGCGGCCAACUGGGCUUUUACUGACGCUGAGGCUCGAAAGCGUGGGGAGC
rnacentral:rRNA from 1 species